rnacentral:rRNA from 1 species
UGGCGAACGGGUGAGUAACGCGUGAGGAACCUGCCUCAAAGAGGGGGACAACAGUUGGAAACGACUGCUAAUACCGCAUAAGCCCACGGCUCGGCAUCGAGCAGAGGGAAAAGGAACAAUCCGCUUUGAGAUGGCCUCGCGUCCGAUUAGCUAGUUGGUGAGGUAACGGCCCACCAAGGCGACGAUCGGUAGCCGGACUGGGAGGUUGAACGGCCACAUUGGGACUGAGACACGGCCCAG